rnacentral:rRNA from 1 species
UAAUACCGCAUAAUGUCUACGGACCAAAGGGGGCUUCGGCUCUCGCCUUUAGAUUGGCCCAAGUGGGAUUAGCUAGUUGGUGAGGUAAUGGCUCACCAAGGCGACGAUCCCUAGCUGGUUUGAGAGGAUGAUCAGCCACACUGGGACUGAGACACGGCCCAGACUCCUACGGGAGGCAGCAGUGGGGAAUAUUGCACAAUGGGCGCAAGCCUGAUGCAGCCAUGCCGCGUGUGUGAAGAAGGCCUUCGGGUUGUAAAGCACUUUCAGUCAGGAGGAAAGGUUAACGGUUAAUACCCGUUAGCUGUGACGUUACUGACAGAAGAAGCACCGGCUAACUCCGUGCCAGCAGCCGCGGUAAUACGGAGGGUGCGAGCGUUAAUCGGAAUUACUGGGCGUAAAGCGUACGCAGGCGGUUUGUUAAGCGAGAUGUGAAAGCCCCGGGCUCAACCUGGGAACUGCAUUUCGAACUGGCAAACUAGAGUGUGAUAGAGGGUGGUAGAAUUUCAGGUGUAGCGGUGAAAUGCGUAGAGAUCUGAAGGAAUACCGAUGGCGAAGGCAGCCACCUGGGUCAACACUGACGCUCAUGUACGAAAGCGUGGGGAGCAAACGGGAUUAGAUACCCCGGUAGUCCACGCCGUAAAC